GAUGAACGCUGGCGGCGUGCCUAAUACAUGCAAGUCGAACGCUGAAGGAAGGAGCUUGCUCUUUCCGGAUGAGUUGCGAACGGGUGAGUAACGCGUAGGUAACCUGCCUGGUAGCGGGGGAUAACUAUUGGAAACGAUAGCUAAUACCGCAUAACAUUAUAUGUUGCAUGAUAUCUACUUAAAAGGUGCAAUUGCACCACUACCAGAUGGACCUGCGUUGUAUUAGCUAGUUGGGGAGGUAACGGCUCAACAAGGCGAAGAUACAUAGGCGACCUGAGAGGGGGAUCGGCCAAACUGGGAAUGGGACACGGCCCAGACGCCUAAGGGAGGCAGCAGGAGGGAAACUUCGGGAAAGGAGGGAAGGCUGGACGAGGAACGGCGCGGGGGGGAAGAAGGGUUUCGGAUCGUAAAGCUCUGGUGUAAGAGAAGAAAGAGUGGGAGAGUGGAAAGUGCACGUUGUGACGGUACCUAACCAGAAAGGGACGGCUAACUACGUG
rnacentral:rRNA from 1 species